UACCAAUGACCGGAUUUGGUGUGUGGUAGUAAAAGGAAACCUCCCCUCAGCAAAAAAUGUUGCUUCUUCGGGCAAAUGUUUUCCCUUCUACUUUACUGAAGAGGAUAAACAGCUACUGCAUUUAGGCUCCAACCCCGCCCCCUCCAUCUGCAAAUAAACAGAUGGAAACUUCCGAUGAACUCAAAAAAUAACCCUGACCAGGCGAUACCCCAGCCCUCAUCAUCGCAUCAACAUAACUCUGACAAGUGGAAGGGGAUGGAUGGAUGGAUGGAUGGAUUACAGUUUUUCAUUGUUUUCAUUACUGUAGAUAACAUUAAAAUAAGU